AACAGGACAGGACCUUUGGGAUCAUCCUGAUCCCAAAUUCCUGGCCGGUCCUGAUCCUGAAUUCCCGGCCUCUCCCACUCCUUUGGGAUCAUCCCAAUCCCGAAUUCCCGGCCUCUCACGAUCCCGAAUUCCCGGCCUCUCCUGAUCCCGAAUUCCCGGCCUCUCCCUCUCCCUGCGCGCGCAGCAAGGGUGGAACAUCACGGUGGAUUUGGUCAUUGGCCCCAAGGGCAUCCGCCAGCUCACCGCCAACGACUCCAAGCCCACCUGCCUGGCGGAAUUCCGGGAUAUCCGAUCCAUCCGCUGCUCGGCGGCCGAGGACGGGCAGGCCCUGCUGCAGCUGGCGCUCAGCGGGAACCCCCAGUCGCUGGCGAUCCGGACGUCGUCGCUGGCGGAGGCGGAGAACAUGGCCGACCUCAUCGACGGCUACUGCCGGCUCCAGGGCGGCUCCGAGACAUCGCUGAUCGCCUUCCCGA